CAAAAACAUGUCCUUUUGUUGGUUUAUAUAAGGUCUUACCUGCCCAAUGAGUGUUUGAAUGGCCGCGGUAUUUUAACUGUGCUAAGGUAGCAUAAUCAUUUGUCUUCUAAUUAAGGGCUGGAAUGAAAGGUUGGACGAGAUAUUGACUUUCUUUAAUUUAAUGUAAGAAUUUAAUUUUUUAGUUAAAAAGCUAAAAUUUUUUUAAAGGACGAGAAGACCCUAUAGAUCUUUAUAUAAUUAUUUAUUUUAGAGUUUUGUGAAUUUUUUUUCUAAUAUUUUAUUUGUAUUUUGUUGGGGUGACUGCAGAAUUUCUAUAACUUCUGUUUUAUUAUUUCAUUAAUUUAUGUUUUAAUGGUCCAAUUUUAUUGAUUAUAAGAUUAAGUUACCUUAGGGAUAACAGCGUAAUUUCUACGGAGAGGCCUUAUCGAUGUAGGAGUUUGCGACCUCGAUGUUGGAUUAAAAUAAGUGAUAAGUGUAGCAGUUUUUUAACUAGGUCUGUUCGACCUUUAAUUUUUUACAUGAUCUGAGUUCA
rnacentral:rRNA from 1 species